rnacentral:lncRNA from 1 species
CCAUUGCAGCGUCUCUAGUGGCUGGUCCAAUGCUUGCCUCAUGGGUGGUGGGAAACACACACACACACAUACACACACCACCUGCCUCAACAAAUGCACAAACCAACACGUAUGUCCUUUCUCGGGUUGGGAUAUUUGUUUUAGAUUUUUCUGCUUAGGCCACAUUAGUACAAUAUCCUCUCUUCUUAGUUAAUGGCUCUACUUUUAGGGAUGAAAAUGGAGAAUUAGUGAGACAAUGUAUUAAUUUCUACUCUGUGCCAAACUACUCAGUGAAUCCGGCAAGUCAAUCCAAAAAGGAGCGAAUGUCACAAGGUGGAACAUUUUCCUAAGUUCCAGUCAUUUUCAAGUAGCCAACAAGUGUCUGUGGCCACCUCCUUUAGAGAUGUUUCCUGCACUGUCUUAAAAGAGCCUGUGGCUGCUGGUGUGAAAACCGGUGCGAAAAAUAUCAGAGGGAAUACGCAACAGCCAUGCAGCUCUGUGCCUUACGAGGGCCUUGUCCCAGGUCCACAUUCACGGUCAUCAGUGAAAAAGCUGGCUCUCGUUCCCCUGAUUAAUUUCUACUUGGUCAUUGUUAAUAAUGAGGUUAGAGGAAUGUGUUUACACAGGGCAAAAUGAAAUGAAAGGGACACUACGCAUACAUAAGUCAUCAUUCAAAGCGCAUCAGAGGUGAGAGGGUAGCUGUAUUAUCUGAGACCCUGGCUUCCUCCCUGAACCCUGCCUGCCCGGGGAGAAACCUCCGGUCGCUUUGUGUUAGUUGUAAUGAAUGGUGAUGAUGCAACACAGACUGAAUCAGAAGUGGCUCCGUGAUGUGUCAGUUGAUUGGUCUGAUUGGUCACCUAACGCUGUGGAAUGAAUCAUCCCCAACUUAAUGGCUUAAAUCCUCAAUACUCAUGGAUUAUCUCCAUGGUUUCCAUGGGUCAGGGACUCUGGAAAGGCAGGGCAUUCUAAUUGGCAUCUCCCAGGCAGUUGCAGGUGGAUGCCAACUUGGGUUGGGAUCCUCUGAAAGGCUGCUCACUCUCAAUGCUGGUUCUGAGCUUCAGGGACUUGACCAGAGAGGAGCCGGAACAGCUGGGGCUCCCUGGGCACCUCAUUGUCUCUGUGGGGGUCUCUUUUUUGCAGACUCCCAGGCAUAAUGAGUUAAGGGGCGGGGGGGCUGGUCUGCAGACACGCUGGCUCAGGGCUCCCACAGCACAUGUCCCAGGAGAGAGCCUGGGUGAGUGCCAUUUUCUCUUCUAUUCCCUGUUACUGGAAAGCAUGCAGCUUCACAUCUGGGCUCUCUCAGAAUCCAGGCCCCACUUCUAGGUGGAAAGUGUCAGCAUUACACAGGACGAACACCAUGGGAGAUGUACACGGCUCUCGUGGGAAAGGAUUUUCUGCCAUCGACUCCUUGCUGUAGUGCUGGAAGCACAUUUCUUGCCUCUGCUCGGUCCAUGCAGGGCGGGAGGGAACAAUCUCAGCAGGUCUGGGAUAAGGGGGUAUUCAGGAGACACAGCCACAUGCUGCCCCUCUGGGACAGCCACUCUCGUGUUGCGCCGAGCCCACACUGCUUCCUCAUGUAGAAUCAAAACCUGCCUCAUGUAGAAUCAAAACCUGCCUUCCUCCAGCUUCUUUCUUCAGCAUUCAUGUCUAGCCACCUGUCAUGGACUGCAUGUGUUUGCCUGAAAUUCAUAUGCUGAAGUCCAACCCCCAGGUUGAUGGCAUUUGGAGGUGGGGUCUUGGGUGGUAAUUAGGUUUAGAGGAGGUCAUGAGGGUAGGACUGUCAUGAUGGGAUUAGUCCUUAUAAAAAGGAGACAAGUGGAAAAGCUCUGGGAGCACAGAGUGAAAAGGAGGCUGUCUAGAGCCAGGAGGAGGGGCCUCACCAAGGACUGCAUGUGCCAGCACCUUCACCUCGGACUUGCAGCCUCGCAACCGUGAGGAACACACGCCUGCUGAUGAAGCCCCCACGGUGUAGUUUCCCUGACCGCACUUCCUUACCUUUCCUUUGCAUCAGUUAAACACAUUUAUGUGCACAUUUGUGAUAUAAAUUCUGACUAUAAAAAUAAUACAUGUCUAGUUUCGAUAAUUUGGACGAUGUAAUUAAGCUUAAAUCUGAAAAUAAAAAUCAUAUAUUAUUCCCGCCAACCUAAAACGAUAACUCAGAUGUUCCUUUUUUUCUUUCAGAUAUAUAUUCACACACACACACACACACACAAUGUUUUACACAUAUAAUAUAUGCCUGCAUUUCAAUACUAUAAAACACCCCUCAUAAACUUGGUUUUUAAUGGCUAUUAAAUAAUUCCAUUGUGUAUAUGUAGCCCAAUUUAUGCAAUAAUUAACCUUUCUUUUCAGAAGGACAGACUAUCACAAUGUAAUUCUCAUUAUUACAUUAAUUACUUUCUUAUGAAAACACUCAUUCUUCUUCUUGGUAAAAACCGACUAAAUUCUUGAACUUGGAACAUGAUCUCUUGGCCUAAUGAGGCUAUAUAUAUACAUUCUAAUCAUAAGCCAUAGGACAGGUAGCUGGAAGGACUCACGGAAAUCAUGAACCCCCAACCCUUUAUCAUCCAUGCAGAGAACGAAGGCCCAGACAGAGGAGAGGGGACUGCCAAGGUCAACCGCAAAUCGCGAGACUUGUAGAGCAUAGAUUAUUGUUACAACCUUUAUGAAAUGAAGUGUCUUUACCACUCUUUUACUCAUUCCACAAAUAUUCGCUGUGUGCCCUGUAGGCACCAGGCCCAGUGUAUAAAGUGGGCAAUGAAACAGGAUAUGCCUCCUGCCCGGGGAACUUGCAGUCAUCACAUUCCCCAGCACCCUACUUCCACUGCAGAGGCCUCUACAGAGCUUUCUGAUCCACAUUCUGCUCCUCUCUGCCGGAGGCCAUUCUCCAGCUUCAGGAGGCUGCGGACUCUCUUGCUGUGCAGACUGCUGUGUCAUUCCCAAAGCGACCCUCGACCCAGGAUGGGUAGAGUUGGGGGACUGUCACCCAGCUGUCUUUCCUCCCCCGACUGGCAGUGGGACAGCUGCAAGGCAUGUUCCACACAGUCUCCAGCGAGUCCCCAGUGGGAGGGACACGCAGUGGCCCCCAGAGGACCCAUCAUUGCUUUGCUCAUCAGGCUUCCUGGGAUCACCUCCUUGGAGAUAAUGAUAAAAACAAGGAAAAUGCAGCUACAAACUUCGCUGCUCUUCAAGCACCAUGACAUUGUUGGAAUAAAACAUUUAUUGGGCACAGCAAAGGAAAUACAUACUUCAUCAAGGAAAUACUAUCUUUUUAUUUGACCCAGGAGGCACCUGCAAUGAAAUCCUUGGUUCAGGCUCUGCUGCUGAGGGAAAUCUAAACCAAGACCAACUCAUAUCGGUGUUUACCAUGCACAUUCCAUAAAGGAAAAAGAUACAAUCCCAUCAAAUAAAAGCAGCAGGGAACAACCACUGUGGAUGUUCCUCAGAAAACUAAAUGUACAACUACGCUAUGAUCCAGUAAACCCACUCCCGGGCAUAUAUGCAGACAAAACUACAGUUCAAAAAGAUACAUGCACCCCUAUGUUCACUGCAGCACUAUUCCCAAUACUCAAGACAUGCAGACUACCUAAAUGUCCAUCGACAGAUGAAUGGAUUAAGAAUAUGUGAUACAUAUAUACAACAGAAUACUAUUCAGCCAUAAAAAAGAAUGAGAUAAUGCCAUUUUCAGCAAUAUGGAUGCAAUAGAGACUCUCAUAUUAAGGGAAGUAAGUCAAAAAGAGAAUGACAAAUGCCAUAUGAUAUCACUUAUAUGUGUAAUCUAAUAUAUGGCACAAAUGAACCUAUCUACAGAACAGAAACAGACACACAGACAUGUGGAACAGAUUUGUGGUUGCCAAGGGGGAGGGGGAUGUGGGGUGGACUGGGGGUUUGGGGUUAGUAGAUGCAAACUAUUGCAAUUAGAACGGAUAAGCAAUGAGGUCCUACUGCAUAGCAGAGGGAACUAUAUCCAAUCUCUUGUGAUAAAACACGAUGGACGAUAACAUGAGAAAAAGAAUAUAUAUAUAUAUUACAU